AAGGUUUGACAUGGAGGGCAAAGUUGAAGAAAUUCAACGGAGGUUAUCCCGACACAGGUGGUGCAUGGUCGUCGUCAGUUCGUGCUGUGAAGCAUAUGCUUAAGUGCUAUAACGAACGCAACCCUCGUAUUUAGUUACUAUCAUUCAGUUGAGAACUCUAAAUAGACUGCUAAGGUAACUUAGAGGAAGGAGAGGAUGACGUCUGAUCAUCAUGCCCCUUAUAUCUUGGGCUA
rnacentral:rRNA from 1 species